AUGGACUCGACAAGGGCAAGCUUCUCGCAGAUGUGGCAUGAGCAGGGAAUCCAGUUAAUGGUAAUCAUCAGCUUAAUGCUACAGCUCAUCCUGCUAUUCACUGGUAACCACCGGUGGCGCAGAAUCAGGUGGCGCAAAAUCAGUGGGUUCAUGAGGUUCAUAGUGUGGCUGGUUUACGUGGGGGCGGACGCUAUUGCCGUCUUCACCAUUGGCCUCUUCUCCCAAUACGAGGAAAAAUACAAACUGAGAAGCCACGACUCUUCUGCGCACGAUCGCAUGCUGCCUUUCCUCUGGGCACCCUUUCUCCUUCUUCAUCUGGGCGGCCAGGACACCAUCACUGCGUUUUCCAUUGAGGACAACAACCUAUGGCUGAGGCACUUGUUGAACCUCCUGAUCCAGGUCUCUCUGGCCAUGUAUGUCUUCUGGAAGUCGUUGGACAUACUCAACUCACACCUGCUAGCCGUUGCGGUGCCCAUAUUUGUUGCUGGAAUAAUCAAAUAUGGCGAGAGGACAUGGGCUCUACAGAGAGGGAGCCGAGAUAGCCUCGGAAGUCGCAAGGUGGAGGAAGAGGAAUCACAAGAUGAAAGUGUUGCUGGUGAUGUCGUGGCAGCUUAUGCUCUUAAAUCGGUACUUCAAGGCAGAGGGCUGCUUGCGGGACGGACAAUGUUCCAGCUGGGAGAUGGGGUCAAGGGGCAUCUGGUGGAUAAUUUUGCAGACAUGGGCCAAAGAGAAGGGAAGCUCAAGGUCGUAACGAUGGAGCUUCGUAUGAUUUAUGAUAUCCUGUACACAAAGGCUAUGGUGCUGCAAAGCUGGACGGGCCGGGUGCUCCGGUGCGGCGCCUUGAUCGCCAUGCUAGUCGCCUUUGUGCUCUUCUCGAUGAAUCAGGAACUACAAGGCCACAACAAAGCCAACGUUACCAUCACCUAUGCAUUGUUUGUCGGGAGUAUCUUCAUGGAAUUUUAUUCAGCCUCCAUGGUGAUAGUGUCGCCAUGGACAAGGGCAUGCUCGAAAGAGGGCAGCUUUCUCUGUUGGCUGGGCCGCGCUGCUUCCCGAAAAGGUUUGGCAUGUCCGUCCAUGGGGCAAUUUAACCUUACAGACUACUCCUUGUACGAGAAAUCUGUGCCAAGAUUUUCCAAGGUCAUCGCCGCAUUGGGUCUAGAGAAGCAAUGGAGAAACUUAUGGCACAUCAAGCACGUCGAAGACAAGGAGAUCAUGGAGUAUAUUGUGGGAUUUUUUGACGACACAGAUUCUGGGCAGAGAUACCAGCGCCUAGAGCUUGGCCGGAAAUUGAACUACUUGCUAAGUCUUCCCUUCGAGCAUGCCCUUUUUCGCCUGCAUAUAUUCACAGACAUGCACAUAAGCAGACACUUGCAGCUGGGAGGUGAUGCAAGUCAUUCGGCCCUGCUUGUGGCAGAGUGCAGAAAGAUAUCAGACUACCUCAUGUACCUUAUGGUGGUUCACCCUUCCAUGCUACCAGUCAGCACGGCUGCCCAAGACCUUGAACCCUGCUUCGCCGAAUGGAUCAGGCACAACCACAGUGACAACAUGACCAAGAGAGAGAUUCUGGAGGCAUAUGCAAAUCAAAGGCUCUACAAUGAGAGGUUCUCAUCAUGUCCCUUUGAAGAAUUUCCUUCCAUGCAUUCGUUGAGUGAGUUAAAGGAGGUAUUGGUGAGGGUGCUCAUAUACGCUGCUGGUAAGUGCCCCAUGGAACUACAUGCGCGCAAGCUCAGCGACGGAGUGGAGCCUCUCACCGUGGUUGCGUCAAUCAUGAUGCAUCACGGUCUAGGGGAUGUGGGAAGGGAGUUCAAGCUGUUGGCAUCUGAUGAUCCUCAUGUGCCCACACCAGGGUCGCUGGUGUCAGUGGAUCAGAGCAGCUGGAUCCGGCGGCCACAAGGGCCUCUCUACGCGUUUGAAUUCUACCAGCAUGCGUAUGAAUAUGAUCAUCAGACGUGGUCGCUUCUGCAGCCUUCGCAAGAAUACCCACGCUUAUUUGUUAGGGCUUGGGCACCGCGAGACAUGGUGUAUCAGUCAUGGAUGUCACGAUGGGAGGGAGGGCAAGCUGGGUGGUCAACAUCCGAGAGAGAACAAACUGAUUGGUCCUCAUCAGAUAUCCAGCAGCAUGUGGUCAACAUGAACGGACUCAACCUACCACUACCACUGCACACACAGCCUGGACAAUUUCCGUCGCUGCCGAAUGCCUCCCCUGAUACUGAUGUGGGAUCGGAGGUGUAUUGGUCGUCAUCGGAGACAUGGCAAGCUAAUCAGUCACCGGAGACGGAUAUGCACCGAAUUGAUAUACCAACUGACCCACAAAUCCAACAAAUUGCAUCGGGAACGAAUACCUCACCUGAAACUGAUUUGGCAUUGGAGGUGUAUCUGUCAUCACCAGAGAUUGAGCAAAUUUAUUCGUCAUCAGAGAUCCACCAACUUGACGUACCGAUGCCCCCACAGUCCCAACAAUUUGCAAUACAACAGAAUCUUGAAACUGUUGUGGCACCAGAAACAGAGCAAAAGCAAGUAGAUGGAGCACUGGAGAUUGAGCUUGCUGAUGUAGCGUCGGAGAUAGAGCAAGCUGGUGGGGUACUGGAGAUAGAGCAGAAGGACAAUGUGGGAAGUAGCACAAACUGA
rnacentral:rRNA from 1 species